rfam:Weissella halotolerans DSM 20190 Scaffold5, whole genome shotgun sequence.
CGCGGGAUGGAGCAGUCUGGUAGCUCGUCGGGCCCAUAACCCGAAGGUCGUAGGUUCAAAUCCUACUCCCGCAA